rnacentral:tRNA from 1 species
GGGGGCUUAGUUAAAUGGCAUAAUACUUCUCUCCAAAAGAAGUGUCGUGGGUUCGAUUCCCUCAGCCCCUG